ensembl:lncRNA
CAGCCCCCAACAGGAAUAUGAUGACUCUAACAGAGACAUUUUCAGAACCUUGACCACGGGCUCUCUUCUGUGCCCUUCACCUCCUGUCCCCAUCACAAGCCUGGACUUGGGGUUGGAAAGUACCUCAAAGGCCAGGCUGUCGACCCUUGCCUCUCGCAGAUGGCCCCCUCCAUCCUCAGCCACUGCCUGCCAACCCAGUGACAGUUGGAACUAACGUCCAUGGACAGUUUAGAACUCUAAACUUCCUAAUUUCUGUUAUUAUGUCAAGGAAUAUGAAGAAAGUGCUACCCUAGAUGAUUAGCAAUAAACAAUGAGGCAUGUGCUAUGAUGAAUGCAAGCACCCAGACAGCGAGAAGCCUCAGAUUUUAAAACAGCAGGAUUCAGUGAUAUGCUGAUUUUUAUCAAGUCUGGGAGUAAAAAGAAAAGUGGCAUGAAUAUCUUAAGAAACCAGAACGAUGUGAAAGCAUCUAAAAUAAAAGGACCCAUAUUUGAGAGCAGAUACCACAAUGGAUCCAGCAGAUUCACUGCAAUUCCCCAGCUCACCUCCGGCCCCCACUUCUCAAUGAAAUGUAUGAGAAACAGCAAAGCUGCACCUGAUGGCCAGGACCGGGCCUGGUACCCACAGGUAUGUCUUGGUGUUCUUCUGCAGAACAGACAAAUUGGAACAUCGUUUAAACCACCAAAUACCAACUGUCCUCUCUCCUGACCAACACAAGUGAUUGCUGCUCCUUCACAGUUAUGGCACCAGCCUCAUUCAAGCUUCCCUUCCUAAAGAUAAGAUUUAUUAAAAUACCAAUCAUAGAAUCAUCCCUGUACAUGGCAGCACAAAAUCCAGAGAAAAAUGUCUGUUUCCAUGAGCUCACCCCCAAAUCACCAGGCAUCAGUGGAUAUCCUGUAAGGCCCUUCUUCAAGAGCAACAACUGCCAAACCGUGGGGGAGUAGAAGGAUGGGCAAAGAACUCAGCAGCAGAACUGGGGACAGUGAUGGUGGCCCCUCAAAAGAGUCAGAACUGGGGCAGGGCCAUCAGGAAAAUGCUGGCUGGAAAGGUGCCCUCCUCCCUACCCCUCCUGUAGGGGCUGGGCCAUGCGGGAUCCUUGUCACCCUACUGGGUCUGGAUGUCGAUGACAUAAGAACUAUGUGCGUAGAAGAAAUCAAAAUCUGGAGCAUCAGUAAGUGUGUCAUUAGUUCACCCUUGUUGGGCAGCUUGCGCAAAGGAACAGGUGUAGGAAAGAUGCAUUGUGUUGGUGGGCUCCCCAUUGUGUUGGGAGCCUCUCGUAGGACAGAAAGGGCGUCGUAGUGAACAAGGGUUGGGAGACUGCAAAUGGGUCAGAUUCUGAGGGGCCUUGAUUUACAUGUAAACCAUAGGACCACUGCCUCCCCUGGAAGAGGCUAUGGUUCUAGAAAAGUGCAUUAUACCACCUCUGUGAUCACAUGUGAUCACAACCCUGGGAAAGAUAGCUUUUGUUUCUCACAUGGUCUACACACUGUCAGAAGAAAGUGUGUCCUGACAUCGCUUUGUCCCAUCUGCCACCAGGGUGGGGGCACCUCACCUUCUCUGACGAGGCCCAGAUCUGUGCUAUCUCAGUUACUCUCUGAAUCAAAUUCCCCCUUCUAUUGGCCUUGAGACUGUGGAUUUGUCUCCACUUUUUAAUAAACCGAUCAGGAUAACUGGAAAAUG